GUUCAUGAAUUUAAGGUCCAAUUUUAUUUGCUCAUGAAAUUGAAUUUCCAUAAAUGGGCCUCCGCUCUGUGUGAUGGACACUAAAGAGAGACAGAAAGUGAAGGGUUCGAAUCCUCUCAUACAGGUGUACAUGUCUAACACCUUGCUGUGACUUCAGUGUCAAUUUUUCCGGCUCUCUCUCUCUCUCUCUCUCUCUCUCUCUCUCUCACACACACACACACUUCUCCAAGGGCGUUUGUUUGAUUCGACACCUUUGACUCCUCUGUUUCCUGUCCCUCUUUGAAUCCUCUCUCCUGCUCUUGUCCCAAAGGGUGACCAGGGUUUCAAGGGGUUGCCAGGUUCCCCAGGAAUUCCAGGUUUACCGGGGCCUUACGGGUAUCCGGGGGAGCCGGGCGAGAAGGGGGUUAUUGGACUGCCGGGAGGGCGGGUAAGUCGCAUUUUUUCACCUCCUCCAGUAGUACCGUCGAGCGCAGUAAAGUGCACUGACGCUUCUUCCUUUCCGUUCCCAUUGCUGUAAACAAGUAACGCUGAGCGGAGGGGCCCUUAUUGCAAACCCUGCACUGUUGUCACCGCAUGUGGACUGCUCUCCCUUCGUCUCCGUACCUUUCCUGUUUCACCCCCCUGUGCUGCUGCUCUUCUUCUGCGAACGUGAAAAUUCUCAGUUGAUGUCAGCAGGUCUUCUGAUCACCACGAGCACCUUUGACUUCUCCCCGUAAUUCGCUUCCGUUGGCUCCUAGGGCGCAUCCGGCUUUAUCGGACCCCCUGGGUCUCAGGGCAGACAGGUAGGGCGGCGACGUCACCCGGAAGAGAUACUGUCAUCUGUCAUCCCUGCUCUGAGAUUUUCACCGCUCACUGACUGUAAUCAUGCACACAUUUUCCUGCACAGGGCUUCCCUGGGAGUCCAGGAUUCCCUGGGCAACCUGGAUUUCCAGGAUUUAAAGGGGAGCCUGGAGACCCCGGCCCCCCGGGGCCCAUCACCUAUUCGGAUGGCGGAAGAGCUAUACAAGGACCCCCUGGUGACCGAGGGAUCGGUGGCCUCCCUGGUGAACCAGGUGACGCGGGACUUCCAGGCAUUGCCGGCAAGCCAGGGUUCCCAGGAGGCCCAUCUUCUGUCCCAGGUCAACCGGGGCAGCAGGGAUUCCCAGGUGCCGCCGGACCCAAAGGAGAGAAAGGAAGCAAAGGUCGGCCGAGCACUGGGUUCCAGGGCCCCCCAGGAAAACGAGGGCCACCCGGCCCCUCGGGACUUCCGGGUCCACCGGGCCCUGUGGGACCCGUUCCAUCUGCAACAUAUGGACCACCUGGCCAGCCAGGCCCAAGGGGGCCACAGGGGUCACCUGGAUUCAGAGGACCUAAAGGAGAUCCAGGGGACUGUAAUUGCCUUGGGGGAGGGGGACUUGGACGGCAAGGGCCCCCUGGCCCUCCGGGACCCUUGGGUUCACCGGGACUCUUUGGGAGGAAAGGAGAGGCAGGGGAUCCUGGUGUGCUGGGAAUCCCUGGUCCUCCAGGGCCAAAAGGUGUCACCGGCCCACGGGGCUAUUUUGGCCGGAAGGGAGAGAAGGGCAAUUCCUUCAUUCCGCCGGGCCGUGGCGCGAAAGGUGAUCCGGGUGCUCCGGGACUCCGUGGGCUCCCAGGGGACGUGGGACGACCCGGUAGAGAUGGCCUCCGAGGGUUUCCUGGACAGCCGGGACCUCCUGUGA
ensembl:lncRNA